AUGGAAGCAGUUGGAGUCUCUCAGUAUGAUCUCCCUGCCGUACACCUCGGCGACCAUCUUGAUCGCGGCGUGGCAGUCGCCGCACACCCGGAGGUUCUUGUACACGCGGAUGGGCGCGGCGGCUGGCACGGCGAGGAGGCCGAACGCGACGGCGAGCCUCUCGCCGUGGUGAGCCAGCCCCAUCUCCCUCCCCUCCGGCGCCUCGUCCUGCAGCGCCCACUCGGUGUCCGGCACGUGCCCCCGAGCCCGGAUCCUCGCCGCCAUCUCCUCCGCCUUCCGGUAGAUCUCCGCCGCCCGCUGGUGAUCCCUGUCCCCGGCGUGGAACACGUGCGUCACGCCGGCGACCACCACCCAGCUGCACCCGGGCUCCUUGCUGAUGCCCCGCGACCUCAUCAGCGCGCGCACCCUCGCCACGUCGCCCCACCGCCGCGCCCGCGAGUAGAGGUUGGACAGCAUGACGUACGGCACGGCGUCCGUCGGAUCCAGCCUCCACACCAUCCCGGCCGCGCGCUCGGCGAGCGCCGCGUUCCGGUGAGUCCGGCACGCGGCGAGGAGGGCCUUCCAGACCGUGGCGUCCAGCUCGGCCGCCGGGCUCCGGUCGAGCAGGUCGACGGCCUCGCCGAGGCGGCCGGCGCGGCCGAGCAGGUCGACCAUGCAGGCGUAGUGGUCCGGCCCCGGGGAGAUGCCGUGCUCGGAUUGCAUGGACUGGAAGUGGGCGCGGCCGGCGUCGAGCAGCCCGGCGUGGCUGCAGGCGAAGAGCAGGCCGACGAAGGUGACGUAGUCCGGCCUGCAGCCGGAGCGGGCCAUGUCGGCGUAGACGGCGAGGGACUCCCUGCCCCGGCCGUUCUGCGCGUACCCGACGAUCAGCGCCGUCCACGUGAUGGCGCACCGGGAGCGCAUCGCGUCGAACACCGUGCGCGCGUCGCGGAGCGAGCCGGUCUUGGCGUACAUGGACACGAGCGAGUUGCCGACCGAGAGGAACGGCUCGUGCCCGGACCGGACCGCCGCGGCGUGCACCGACCGGCCCAGCUCGAGCGCGGUCGAGCCGGCGCACGAGCUGAGCACGGCCGCGACGGCGAACUCGUCGGUGGCGACCCCAGCGGCGACCAUGUCGCGGUAGGCGCGAACGGCCAGGCCGUGGGAUCCGGCGCGGGCGAGCCCGGUGACGAGGGAGGUCCAGGUGACCACGUCCCGGCGCGGCAUUUCGUCGAACACCGCCCGCGCGGCUCCGAGGCGGGACAGCUUGGCGUAGGCGUCGACGAGGGCGUUGGCGACAUGGAGGUGCGACGCGAGCCCCGCGCGGAGGAGGAGCGCGUGGAGCGCCGCCGCGGGCGGGGCGCGGAGCAGCGCGGCGGAGUUGAGGAUCGGCGGGAGGGUGUACUCGUCGGCGCGGAGUCCCCGCGCGCGCAUCUCGGUGAACAGCGCCAGCGCCCGCCGGUGCAGCCCCGCGCGCGAGCAGCGGGAGAUGGCCGCGUUGCACGCGACCAGCCCCUUCCCGCCCGGCGACGCCAUCGCCGGCUCCGGUGCCGUCUACGCGAUUAGAGAUUAUUUA
rnacentral:lncRNA from 1 species